UUUCCCUUGGGUCAGUGGGAGUCAGCUCUCCUGGCUGUGUCCCCUCUCUGCUGUGCAUCCCAGGCUCCUCACUGGUGGGGCAGUGUGAGAGGUCAGAAAGGCCUGGAUGGUAUGCAGGCUUUUCUCAACAGUAACAAAACACCAUUGUGUUUGUUACCAACAGUACUGCAGCAGGAAUGCAAAUCAUAGCCUCAUACUAGCUUACUGUAAAGAAUAAUAACUCUACCCCAGCCAAAUCAGCACACAGAUGGGCAAACACCAUAGAUCUUUCUGGUUUAAAAUACUGUGAGCUUCAAAACAGCUUUUUGUUUCAGUUGUUAUGUAGGCAUGCCUCUCUUCAUUUUCCCUAGAAAAAAACAGAUUUUUUUCAAGACCCAAAGCUCUCUCGUCUUGAGUAAACUGCAUUUGCACUAUAAUUGCAGGGACAAUGGCAUCCCUCUUUCAGCUUUUGAUUGUGGGGAUGUCUACAGAAGUUUAGGUACAUGUGAAAGAUCAUUUCUGUGUUAGAGCAUUGGAGCUCAACUUCAAGGUACAUGAAACAGAAAAACAUAAGUCAGGUUAAAAAUAUAAGAGCACUGAACUGAAAGCGAUGCCAUGUAUGUAUUUUGGGAAGAAGUACUCCAUUUUAAAUUCAGUGCAGUUAAGCAGCGUUGAAAUUGCUGGUGGCAUGAUCUAUUUAACUGCCCAGAGGCUUCUUCUCACUUGUUCCCUCCUUGUUUAAAAAUUGCUAUUUAUACAUAAUCAUGAACUGAACAGAGUGGAGUAUGGAGUAAGGAGGGUAGUACAUUCCUAGGAAUGAGGCAGUCUGGAAAUAAUUUAUCAGUGUUUCUACAAUCUGUGCCUUUUAUUUUGAUAGCUUUCUCACUGCCAGAAGGAGCACCCUUGAAACUACUCUCAACCUCACAAGUUCAUGUGACUGUACCUAAGACAGGUUUAUUCUCCUUCCUAGUAUGAGCAUGCUCACAGAUGUGUAAAGACACCCAGUGCUUACUUUCACAGACCUGAAAUCUACCUUUUCUCACAUUGUAUAAAGGCUGUAAAAUACAGAGACAGAUACACAUGCAACUCUGCAUCAGAGACUAUGAUUACUUCAGUGAGAGCAUACCUUUAAAUUACAAAUGGCAAAUUACUUGGACAGAAGAAGAAUAAUUUCCAGUAAAAGAAACAUUCAUAAAAUGGCACAAUUAUGCUUUUCUUCAUUUAUGUGGUGAUAAUUUCUUCUGGAAAUACCACUGCUAAACACUGGAAAUUGAGGAGUACAGUACGAUUUAAUAUGAGUAAGCUACACAUCUGAAUUGCUUCUGGGUAAGUACUGAACAGAUAAGGAUUUAGCAAGCUUCUAAGUCAAUAUGAGAAUUAUCUAAUUUUUUCUUGUAAAAGCUAUCACAUAUAGCCAAAGAGUUCUUCAACUAAAUACAGAAGAAAAAUAGCUGAGAAUUAAGAUAACUACCUUGCGAAAAAUCUGCAUUUUGAGAAAAAAAUAUGUAUGCUUGAUUUGAAUUUCCAGUUCAGCUAGACACUAAAGAAGCCAGAUGGCAGCAUUAACAUUUCAUUACUAAUAUUGUUAUUUCCUGGUAUGUAGAGCCAGUCUCCAUACAUCAUUUCUAAUGUGUGAAAGCACGUUUUCAUAGAAAUUAUGUUUACCAUAAUAAAUGGAACAGCAAUCAUACUUGUUAUCUGCACUAAGAAGGAAACUUCAGAAACUUUCAUCUUUCCAUAUGAAAGAUGUUACCAGUCAGAUCCUGUCAGUUCCUGUUAAUUGUGAACAAUUAACAAUGUCCUAACUGAGUAAACACUGGUAUCAAGGAUUGGAGGCCUCAUCUGAUGGUUAUUUUCAAAUAAGUUAAAAUUCAGUUUCAAUAUAUAUUAUCACCUCUCUGUUUUUUCCCUACCCCAAAUUUCACUAAUUUCACAGACAGCAUCACAACAGUACCUGUUUAUCCACAGUUUGCAGAGAAGGCUAAACUGUUAGAGUGUAAUGUGGAUAGUUUGAUCAACUUCUCUAUUUUCUAGAACUUAAACAGGCCAAUAGGAACCACAAAGACAACUCCUGUCCUUAUAAGGAAGGGUAUUAGAGAGGAUCAAAAAAAAUCAAAAUAUAGAAGUUAUGCUCCAUGUCCAAGUAGAGGCUGGUGAUGAAUUAUGUCCCUCGGAGCUCUGUCCUGGGAUGGGGACUGUUCAAUAUCUUCAUCAAUGACAAAGACAGUGAAAUUGUCAUCUGCAAGUCUGUGGAUGACACAAAGCAGAGAAGUUCAGUUGACACAACGGAAGGAUGGGAUGCCAUCCAGGGCAGUCUGAACCAGAUGGAGAAGUGGGCCCACAAGAACUUCAUGAAGUUCAACAAGUUCAAGUGCGAUGUGCUGCUGGGGUCAGGGGAAUCCCAGAUGUGGUGAGUACAGACCUGGGGAAGAACUCAUUGAGAUCAUUUCUGCAGAGGACUUGGGAAUACUGGUGGACAAAAUGUUGGGUAUUACCCAACAACAUGCACUCAUAGCCAAGAAGGCCAACCACUUCCUUACCUGCGUCAGAAGAGUGGUAGCCAGCAGGUCAAAGGAGGAGACUGUCUCCUUUUACUGUACCCCGUAGAGCCUCCAUUGGAGUAAUGUAUCCAGCCCUGGGGUUCUCAGCACAAGAAAGACAUGGAACUGUUAGACUGGGUCCAGAAGAGGGUCACAAAAACAAUCCAAAGGCUGGAGCAUCCCUCCUAUGAAGACAGAGAGAAUUGGACUUGUUCAAUUUAGAAAGAGAAGGAUAUGAGGACACAUAGCAGCCUUCCAAUAGCUAAAGAGGCCCUGUAAGUGAGCUGGAGAGGGGCUGUUUACAAGGAUUUAUAGUAACAGGACAAGGAGAAAUGUGUUUAAACUAAGAAAGGAGAUAUUCAGAUUAGAUGUUAGGAAGAUACUCCUCACUGUGAGACAAGUGAGGUGCUGAAACAGGUUUCCCAGAGAAGUUGUGACUGGCUCAUCCAAGGAAAUGUUCGGUGCCAGUUGGGAUGGAAGCCCAAGCAAUCUGAUUUAGUGAGUGGCAUCUCUACCCAUGUCGAGGAGGUUGGAACUAGAUGAUCUUUGAGGUCCCUUCUAUCCCAAGCCAUUCUAUAAUUCUCCUAUUUUUCAAUUUGUAGUUCUUGUUGAUCUGUAUUAGAUUUUGCAAUAUCCAUUUCUACAACCUCUCAAGGUCUGUCUGAAUGGGAGCAACACCACCGGUGAAUCACUUUUUCCAGUUUUGUGUCACUGCAUCAUUUCUGAGAGUGCAUUCUGUCCCAUCACACCAUCAUACACAAUAUUGUUCAUAACAAAAUUCUCUAGAAGUGUGUUCUCUUUAUUGACACAGCAGUAGAAAGCAGACUCAAAAAAAUAAAAGGUAAUCUACCACAUGGUCUGACAAGCCUGUCAUUUUGAUGACUAAAAGCAUUUUAUGAAGGAAAUAAUUUUUGUAGUUGCUGGCUUUCCUAGAGGGAAAAUAAAGCUGUCCACCUUAUGUCUUUUAAUCAGAUGUUACUUAGUGAACUUUGCUAAGCUAGCUACUCAGAGUCUGGCAUUCUCUUUCUAAUUAAAAAUGGUAUCCCCCUGAGUUUAGUGGAAGUCUUGUUAAGAUUAAAUUUUCAACGGUUGUCUGUUUCUGUUGCUGACUGUAUUUUGGAGAGUGUCAGAAUACUUACCAUCUUGGAGCAACUAUUUGUAGACAGAUUUACAGGGAACAGCUGCAGGUAACAAUCAAUCAUAUUUGGUUCAGUGACAGAAUUUAAUUAGCUGACAACAAAGUGAAAUAGGCUAUAAAAUAAAUGAAUUGUUAUUCGUGUACAGAUACAUUUCCUUUUUGAGUCUUUAUAUAACACAUAAGAGACAAGUGAAAGAUCAGCAUAUAAUGAUGAUCCAUGACUGACUCCAAAAUGAGAGGUAGAGGUAUCACCCCUCCUCUCUGUCUGUUACCAGGAUGCUUGCUUUGCAAUUAGUAAUAUGCAGCUUCUUUCAUCGCUAAAAUAAUCUUUGUUUCUUUAUGCUUGGUGCUUUGUCUGACACACGUGCUUUUUCUAUUGAUUUUUACUGUAAGAUGGGUCAGGUGGUUACUGAUAAAUUCAUCCUUGAUGAAUGCAAGAUUUGUCUCUGCAUGAAUGAAGAGUGGUUCAGAUAUUUUCCCACAGCUGGAAUAGUGACAUAAGAAUAUAAAAAUUAAAAAUAUUAAAAUAGUGAAGUAUCAAGUUCUUGGCAUUUUACUAUCUAGUUGAGUACACACUCCAGUUGGAUUCUUUGGACUCUCUAAGCAUUGUGAAAAGUGAUAUUCCCUAGAAAACAGCACUCUGAGGAAAAAACAGCUAUGAUGGGAAGAAAUCAUACCCAUUGUAGGAAAGGACAAACAAGGCUUUAUUUUACAUUAUGUCCAGAAGACAUCAAGUGGAAUUAGCCUUCUCUUGGGAUGGUGUCAGGGAACAAUAGGAAGAAUUUCUUGCUCUAUCCAGCACUUCAGUACUGAGUUGAACUUAGCUUUAGCAAAUGGUUUUCAUGUUCUUCUUUUUCACAUGUUGUAAUAUAUAAUAUAUAAUAUUUUAAUCUGUUUUUGAGUUAUAGAUUGCUUUGAAAGUGGCCUUUCUGAAUGACUCUUCACAAAGUUAGUACAUACUGUAGAAAAAUCAUAAUUAAAUCCUACAGAAGGCAUGAUAUGUUUUAGCAAAAAAAGGUCAGUCUCUGCCCCAACAAACCAUAAUCUGUAGCUCCCACCAAGGCUCGAAUUGUAUAAGAAAACAUUAAGUGAUUCAGCCACAUCAUGUUUCUGGUCAUUUUUUUUGUAGUAACACACUGACUAGAGGUAGCAUAUUUCUGUCUAGAAUUCCCUUAACAGAAAUAUGUGCACUAUGUCUUUCUUCCCAUGUGUACAAGCUAAUUUCCCAGAUGUAUUAGCCUUCCUUUCUCACUUCUGUGAUACAGUGAAAUGCACAAUUGCUCUGAUCAUGUAGGGAAGGUCUAGACAUGGCCAGUGUGCAUAUGCUCUAGGAACUGCCUUUUCCCGGGUGUAUGAAAGACGAGUCAAAGGUUCAACAUGGAACUUGGAGUAUAGACAGUUUUACCAGGUGAAUAUGUACACAUACAUUUUUGUGGAAUGAGAAAAUGGGUGGGACUUAUAUAUAUGUAUUUAUAUAUACACAGUGUUAAAAAUAUACUGGUAUUCCAUACUUUCAUCAGAUUUAUUUGUGCUUAACUCUCAAAAUAUAUCAUAUAUCAUGCAGUAGAUAGAAAUGACACAUGGCUCUUGUCUAACUCUCUCAGCAUCUAACAUAAAGGAAAAGGAGCAUAUUUUGUUUUCAUUUAUCCUGUGCUGCUCAUUGGACAAUAUUUAUGUUCCACAGUGGCCUCUGCAGCUUAGCAUUAGAAGGCAGAGCCCUCAAGUUAUUUAAAGACAGCAGGAAAAUGGACUUUUCAGAGAAGAAGGUUAUGUAAAGAACAGGAUGAAAGAAGAAUAGUUUGGUUGCAACAUGAAGCCCAGAGGAUUUGUGGGUUCUCCAUUCUUGGAGGUGCUUAAAAGCUGCCUGGACGCUGUCCUGGACAUCCUGCUCUAGAUGAUGCUGCUUGUUGAGGGGGCCAGAACAGAGGACCUCCAAAGUUACAGAUUCCAUGCUUGACCUUUCUUCAUUGAAAUUUAGAAAAAAAUUGCUUACAAUUAAUCCAGUUUACGGCAUACAAGAAAAAAGUGCUUGGAGUGUUUGAGCCACAAGAUGGUAUAAGGACUAGAGAGCAUGGUUGCUUGUCUUGAACAUUGUCAAGGGCACAUAAGGAACUUGGUGUAAGAUAAGCCACCACAGCAGACUUGAGAAUCCUGUGGCUUCCUGGACGAGAUCCUGAAGUUGCUGACUGCAACAAAUGGUGAGAGAAUGCGUGGCAUCCAGCAAAGCAGCAGGAGAACAGCAGGACCGGCUCCAUGGACAUUCCGCCUUUGUUCGGCUGAUCCACCCCUGGGGGCUCUGCCUUUUCCAUCGUGGGCAACACCCCCUCUGGAGAAAUCGAAACUGUAACCGAGCUCCCAAAGCCAGUGUUCCACCGAGAUCAUCUAAAGAGGCGACGCCCACAUGGGAGUCGAGCCGAAGCUGGAGAUCGAAGAAUUCUGCCCCUCGUGAGAGGAGAUCUAAGAGUUGCACCCUUCCUGAAAGAGAAUCCUAAAGUGGAAGAGACUGAACUAAAAACCCAUUAUAUUUGUAUUGAGUACCAUCACUGUUUACUGAGAUUUAAGUGUUUGUUUUUAAUUUUGGGGUUUUUUGUUUGUUUGCUUAAUGUGUUUUGUUAUUGAGUUUUUGGUGUCCCACAAAGCAAAGCGGAUGCUCUGUGGAGGAGGCGAGAUUUUAAGGUGUAUGUUUGGAAAAAUUUUAAGCUCCUAGUUAAAAUUUGAAAAAAAAA